UGAAAAAAGAGCAUGGUGUAAUGCCCGUGGCUGUAUUAGAUUGCUAACCCUAUACUUGAAAAAUGACAGCUCAAAUCUGAUUGGUAGUUAUGGGCAGGGCUCCAAAAAUAAAUUUUGGUCAUUGUGACCUGUUCUUACAGAUGUUUUUUUU